CCCCCAAAAAAGUCUGUGUGUAUCCUGUCAAAAGCUCAGAGAGAGAGAGAGAGAGAGAGAGAGAGGAGAGAUGUACGGCAAUGGUGACUCCAUAGAUUCCUGGUUCAAACCCACUUCUUUCUCUAAUUAAGAUGCUCUCGUUAAUUAUAUAAUAUAGGUUUUCUGAUGAGUGUGUGUAUGUGUAUACAUAUAUAUAUUUGUUUGUGCAGAGAAAGCCGGAUUUUCCAUUGUCUUGUCGGUGGUAGUGGGGUGUAAAAUUUGCUUUAUUACUUCUCAGAAUCUCAGAUCUGUGUUUUUUCUUUCUUUCCUUUUUGAGUUCAAUAAAUGCUUUUGGGUGAUUUGGAUGCGCUGUGGGAUUUCUUUUUGUAUUGGUAACCGAAAGGGUAAAGUCACUGGAGGCAGCGGUUCAUCGAUCUCUUCCUGGGAAUUUGGUGUGAAAAAUCACAGAACAUGAAUCGAUCGAUAAACCUCUGCAUCCAGCGUUACCCCCUCCUUCUCUAUCUCUAUAUUUAUCUAUGCUGAUUCAUUUGAUAUGUGGAAUUUGUUAUUAUCUGUCCCUGAUGUUUCUUUUCUGUAUGGUUGGAGAGAAAUUUUGGAUUCUGAUAUCUGAUGCUUUUGUAUAUGUGUGUGCAUGUGUUCUGGUAUGCGGGUGAUCUCUUUGUUCAGAAUAAUUGGAAAACUAUUGGGACCUCGGAGACCAAAAGUAGAGUCAGAAGCUAUUUUUUUUCCCUCGCUUUCUCAACAACCAAACAGAUUUUUCGAUCAUUUUCUUAAAAAAAGCAAAAAAAGCCCAUGAUAAAUGUAAAAAUUUGAAAUUUUCUUUUUGUCUUCGCUGUCCCUUGUUCUCUUCCAAUUUAUUACCUAGCGCUAGUUGGUUUGCAGAAAACAGCAAAAGGGACCCUUAUCAUUUUCCGGCUGUGGUCCCAAAUUGGUGAAUUUUAUUUGAUUUUUUUUUUGUUUUAGUACAUUUCUUUGUUGUUGCUGGAAAUCUAUCUCACUAACUUCCCUUGUUUUACCUGAUGUUUUUUCCUCUCUCCCUUUUUUCAAUACUUUGAUCUUGAUUUCCCUUGAAUAUAAUAGCUUUCGAGCUAAUUUCAGACUGUCAUAUUUCCAUUAUUAGCUUCUUCUUUUUAUUUAUCUGAUAGCUUGUUAAAUCUGACAUAAUGUAAAAUGAUCAAUGGAUUAUGAAAAAACUAGAUAGUGCUUGAUACGUGAAUUGUCGUUUAGGGAAAAUAUUAAAAUGAAAGAAUUUUGUUUGCGGUGCAUCUCUGAACGUUCCUGAAAUGCAAGUAAUUGUUUGAUUAGGUAUGUUAUUCGAGUUGUUUUACGGUCAAAAAUGUGAGAAAUUGAUGUAAUCACACUUCAUUUAUUGCUUGGCAGAAAUUAUUAAUUGUACCACCGACAUAUACCUCUUAUGCAAGAUAAUCUCUUGAUAAAGAUUUUUCUUUUAAGGUCGCUACAUGUGGUGGACCGCUGGCUGCCCUCGGAGAUUCUCCAAUGGUGGUCAGGACUCAUUUUUCAUUUAUAGAUCUGUGAAGUAGUUUAAUAGGGGGUUCAAUUUGCACGCCAAUGAAGUCAAUUUCUCGAUAAAGCAGUUACUUGUCAAAUUCCGGGAGGCAAGAAAAAGUAUUUCUUUUGAGGGUUAAAUUUGUGAUAGAAGUUGAGGGAAGAAAAAUGCAGUGGAGAAAGGUACCGAGUUGGGUGAAGAAUCUAUUAAGUUGAAGUGUACUUGGUGGAAUCUGGCAUCGAAUUUAAUUAACGGAAAGAAAGAAAAAGAACAAAAAAAAAAAAAAAAAGGGCCUUGGAAUGGCAAUUGAAUCAAAAUGAUUCUGUAUUCUGUGAAAGCCAAAAUGUGGAAAGGUUUGGUUUUGAGUUCCAGAAGAGGAGGGGGGAGGAAUCCUGGGAAAAGAAAAGAAGCAUAUAAGCAAAAACUGGGUAUAUUCUACUGUUCUCACGUACCCUUUGUCUUGUUCUCUCUUUUCAUCACUUGGGUGUUGCUGUGUAGCAGACUUGGCAUCGUCAUUUAAGAUUCUGCCGGCGAUGAUGGGUGUGAUGUUGAAUAUUUGGAUUAUCAGGCGGCAGCGGCUUAAUUCUCUAUCUGUCAUCAUAAAUUGCAGACAGAAGCUUUAGAUCUGUUCACAAGUUAAUGAUUUUCCCAAUUUAAAUUAAUUUGUUUGAAAAUUUUUACAUACCAUUUAAGAGUUUUUUGGGUGUGGUUAAGACA